rnacentral:rRNA from 1 species
UACGUAGGGUGCGAGCGUUGUCCGGAAUUACUGGGCGUAAAGAGCUCGUAGGUGGUUUGUCGCGUUGUUCGUGAAAACUCACAGCUCAACUGUGGGCGUGCGGGCGAUACGGGCAGACUGGAGUACUGCAGGGGAGACUGGAAUUCCUGGUGUAGCGGUGGAAUGCGUAGAUAUCUGGAGGAACACCGGUGGCGAAGGCGGCAUCCUGGACCGACACUGACGCUGAGGAGCGAAAGCCAGGGGAGCAAACGGG